UACAGAGGUCUCAAGCGUUGUUCGGAUUCAUUGGGCGUAAAGGGUGCGUAGGCGGGGCGGUAAGUCGGGUGUGAAAUCCCUCGGCCCAACCGAGGAACUGCGCCCGAGACUGCUUCUCUUGAGUCCCGGAGAGGAAGGUGGAAUUCCCGGUGUAGCGGUGAAAUGCGCAGAUAUCAGGAAGAACACCCGUGGCUAAGGCGGCUCUCUAGUACGGUACUGACGCUGAGACGCGAAAGCGUGGGGAGCGAACAGG
rnacentral:rRNA from 1 species